UUUGUUUAUUUUUGCUUUUGUUGCAUGUGCUCUUGAAGUUUUAUUGAAAAAAAAAAUCCUUCCCCAGUCCAACAUCAUGAAGGAUUUCUCCUAAUGUUUUCUUCCAGUAGUUUCAUAGUUUUGGGUCUUACAUUUAAAUCUUUAAUCCAUUUUGGGAUGAUUUUUGUAUAUGAGGUAAGGACCUAAUUUCAUUCUGCAUGUGGAUGACCAGUUGUCCCAGCACCAUUAAUUGAAGAGACUGUCUUUCCCCGUUGUGUGUUCUUCGCACUUUUCUCAAAAAUCAUUUGGCUAUAGAUGCAUGGAUUUCUGGGCUCUUGAUUGUGUUCUGUUGGUCUGUGUGUUUUUAUGCCAAUAUUAUGCUGUUUUGGUGGCAAUAGCUUUGUUGUACAUUUUAAAGUCAGGUAGUGUGAUGCUUGCAGCUCUCUGCCCACUGACCCCACCUUAGGAUUGCUUUGGUUAUUCAGGAUCUUUUGUGGUUCAGAUCCAUGUUUAGCUUUCACUCUAUCAUCACUGACACUGAAAAUCUCUUUCCUAAGGGCCGCUGAUCUUCUCCUGAAGUCUCAGAACAGAUGGCUGCCAAGUAGGAUGUCCUUGGAGAAGGCAGUUUCUGGGCUUGCCUGGGUCUUGUCUCUCUAUUCAAGUGUCUUUUGGAGCCCUGGGCUGUGUCCUGGCACUCCCACUUACUACCUAUGAAGGGCAGUUGUUUUACCUUUCUGAACUUCAGUUUACACUUCUGUAAAAUGGGACUUUACCUUGCUGAGUGAGGAUUAUUAGCACAGAGCAUGUGAAAUGCAUGACAUCCAGCCUGGCAACUGGUGGUGCAGUGAACAUUGGGGCUCAGUUGCACGUAGACACCUGAGAGUUCUUUGGGAUCCUCCUUGUCUUUCUGUUGGAAGCUGUUGGCCCAGGAGAAAGGGCAGAGCAGCAGCUGCAGCAGCUGUGAGGGGGGCACACACAUGGGCGAGAGGAUGCACCUUCUGCUCAAGCAUACUCCUGGGCUCUUUCAGGAAGGGUCUUUGGAUGCCCGGUGACCAUGGAGAAGGGGGAAAAGAGGGAGGCAGAGGCUUUACAAAGCUGUGUUCAGCACCAGCCCGGCAGAGACAAUGAUCAACAUCCCUGCCUCUCCAUGCAGGGCUGCCUGAGGGUUCAAGGAAGCAGGCUUGGGGCACUCCAAGCCUCAAGGGCUGGUUCUGGAGCCUUUUCUGGCAGAGCUGACCAGGUUCUCUACCUUAAAGGCAGGUUGGCUGGAAUAACGAAGAUCUCCAUAGUUGCUUUCUGGGCAGAGAGUGUUUACACAAUCCAAAAUUUGUAAUCUCUUCUGGGAGACAUGAUUGCCCUUAGGGACUUCUAGUAGACCAAAAGAAAAAAAAGAAAAAAGCAAAAAGAAAAAGAAAAAGAAAUCCCCAUGGAUCCUAUUUGGAUGGAUACUUUCAAGGAAAAUGGCUGGUCUAGCAAGGCAGCCCCUUGAGAAACUAAUUGUGCAUCAAGGUGGUACCAGGCAGGCAUUUUCCUGGUUGGGGGAGGGGGCCUCUCCCCUUGAUCUCAGCAGGAACCAUGUCUGAAUCCUUUGGAUUUUUGCAGCUCUGGCCUUCUCUUUCUAGCGUACUUCUCUUCCUAGUGGUGCCAAAUUUUAUGAAACUAAAGCACCCAAACUGAGCAUAUCAUUUGUACCCAGAGAAAAUUCACAGUUCGUUUUGUGCUUUCCAGUGAAGCUGCACCUAGCAACCAAGCAGAAAGGGCCCCUUCCCUUUGCCCUGGGGCCCAGUCACAGGGCGAGGACGGUGGUCAGACCAAGAGCUGACAGUCUGGGCCCUUGUCCUAAGCUGGCCUCUCUGACUGGCCUGGAUUUGUUAAGCACAGGCAGCUCCUUACCGCCCCCGAUGGUCACCAGGUGAUAAGUGAUUGCCCAGCCCUUCCUCCUUUGAGCUGAGCGUUGUGUCUCUUCUUCCUGGGAGCAGUUUCACACUGUCAGUUCCUAGGGAUUAGGUGCGUGUUUAGGCUGGAUGAACUCAUGAAUGAAAAUAUUUUGCUUUGUUCUUUCAGCAGUGGAGACCUGCACAGUGGGCCCCACUUUUCUCUCUCCUGUCUCCCCCAGCACCACCUACUCAGGUCCACCCUAAUGACAUCAGCGAAGGCCUCUACAGCAGCCCCCAAGCUGCCUCUGGAUAGUCGGACAAGGCCUCUGUGCUGUGAUGGAACCAGGUGACCCGCAGCCUCCGGGCCAGCUAAAGACUUCACCAGGCUGAGAAGCAGUACCAGUUGACCUUUUCCCGCUUGCACAUCCUAAGCCUGAGUUUAAGAUUGUCUCUGCACUCAGGCAGCGUCCUUUGGCCCAUCUGAAAGUGGGCCAGUUCUGCUGGCUCCUCUCCUUUCUGGGAAGGUCACGCAAGUCCCUGAGCCAAGAUGAACAGAAGGUACCAAUCCCAGGACUAUGGGGCAGACUCAGGAGGCAGCACAUGGGGAACAUUCUCAGACUUGAUCUACGGUCAUCAAUCCACCUGAGCCUGUGGGUGUGUUGGUGUCCAAAGCGCUGGGCCAGUCUGCCUAUUUCAGCUGGAGUUCUCCUUCACAUGAGGCACCUGCUGCCAGGUGGAGGGGUUUCCAGAGGUGUAAGGAAGCUACAGCCUAAGAAAGAAACCCUGCUAUGGGACUGUGGCUGCUCUGGACUGCGCAGGCUGCCAGGAAGGAACGGCAGAGGCAGCCACCGCGGGCCUUGCACAGAGUGACAGCACCACAGUUAUGGGCGAUGUGUGCGCAGAGAGACACACCCAUGACUGAUAUGUAACAAGCAUGUGCCCCUACCUGCCGCUGCCGAUGGAUGGAAAUGCAAUGGAUUUCAGCUUCUUAUCAUCAGCCAGGGCCAAGCAGUUUUUCACUGUCUUUUCCAGAAGUUCUUCACACUUGUCUGCACCCCAGACUGGACUAUUACAGUGGAUCACAAACUUGGCAGGCAGGCCGUGACCUGCGCUUACGGCAGCUAGUGGUGGGGGGAUGAAACAGAAAUAGUGAGCUCUGGUUCACUACAAAGCACAAGAUGCCAAACACAGACCCACUCCCCUGCCACCAUACGUCUUCCUGGGCCCUCCAAUGGUCUGUGUCUGAGGAGUUCCACAGCUGUCUGCUGCGUUGUGAUUCCAACGUGAGCUCGAGCCAAGAACUGCUCAUCAUUUAGUCUUUUCACUUGAAGAGGGGAGCCAAGCCAAGCCACACCCUUGGAAAGUUGGCAUUACAAUAUGUCACCACCAGGAAUUUUGACCAAGUUUGUAGUAAGCCUCUCUCCACUCUCAGAAAGCUUACACAGUUCUCCCAGAGGCAGAGCCUUACCCAUCUAACUCAACUGAACAUAAACUCAACUAAACGUGUCAGAACAUCUGCAGCCUUAAAAUAAUUGUUUUGGGUUUCCAACCCUUCUUCUUUAAGUCGACUGGUGUGCUAAUUAUCGACUUGCACACCAAUAUGAUGUAUUUGUCUCUACUAUGAUGUAUUCUCUAAAUCUCCCAGACCCAAUUCAGGACAAAGCUACCAGGGAAGCAACUGCUUUAAAUGAUCUGCUAAGCAAACUGACCAGCAUCUCCGCUGCCAUUGUCUUCUCCCUGCUGAAGAUGGCCUCACUGUGUGAAUAACUGAUCCUGUUUGUGGCAGAAUUAGCUUAGUUAAGGAACUGUUUUUUCUUUUCCUAGAAGAGAAGAGGGGCCCCUUUCCAGCUAUACAUCUCCACCAAAAAGACUUGCCUUUCCCUUGCCAGAUCUAAGGACACAGGCCUGGGGUCUGCCACAAACUGCAAAGUACCAUGUCUCCCAGAGCAUGUUCCAGAAUCCCCGUCCAUAGAUGCUCUGCAAAGAAGGUUUUGGGGGCACUGGGUUUAGGGGGUGCUGCAUGCUAUGCUUCUAUACAGGAGCACAUUAGAGUCUCCAUACCACUGCUAAAGUAAAACAUCCAAACUUUUUGUAUUUGGUUGCGUAUUUCUGAAACCCAUUUUUUUUUUUAUGGAAUAUCUUUACAAGGGGUAUGUGUUGUUAUGGUCGUGUGGUAGAUAAUGGAGAAGGAGCGAUUUGUGGGUAGUGUCUCAUGGUACAGUAGAAACAGCUCAGUCACAGGGCAUGAAUUUGAGUCCUGGCUCUGCUUUGUGAUUGGGCUUGAGAACUCUGGGCUGACCUACAAAAACCUGACAUUACGGCAUUGAAUUAAACCAGUGGGUUUAUCCCCAUGAGAAGUCAUGGCUAAACUAUGCAUAGAAAAAGACUGGAAAGAAACAUUAACAGUGACUAUUUUGCACAGUGGAACAGGAGUAUGUUUUAUUUGCCUCUUUAUACUUUCAAAAUUAUUUUAAAGCAGUUUCUAAAGUAGCUGUUAAAAUCAAAAACAAAAGUGUUAUUGAAACAAGCAAAAAUAUCUUGAACCAUGCUACACCUAAUGGGUUUGCAUCUGCUGUGGCUGAGGUUUCCCACAGAGUUUGGUACAUGGCAGCACCAGGCUGCCUCCUACCAGGCCUUGUGCCAAGGGCUACCAGCAGGACUCAAGCUGGAACCCUGAUGGGAAGAGACCCACAGGCUGGUCAAACAGGUGUUUUAAAGGGACUGGGGAAAGGCCAGCUGCCCCUGGCUAGGUAGUUAAAACUGUGUAUGCCUUCCCUUGUACAGUGUGGGACUUUGGUGGUACUGCCUGGAAGAACUUUAUAAUUAGUGCCCUGUAUGUCAUGCCCCUUGCAGGCAAAACAGAAGUGGCAGAGCAGAGGUCAAAGGCACAGAUCAGCAAAGGGAAUCCUUCUGGAUCCUGAGACUAGCCUGAAAGGGGUGUCAUUUGUCACUAGGAAUAGAGGGGCAAGGCCUGGUGGACCCUCCAAGAGAGAGCUUAUGCGAAAAUUAUCAAUGUCCAACUUUAGUUAAGAUUCAUUUUUAAAACAGAGGAUUUAAAAGACAGGAUAGGCAUUGGAAUCGGGUAGUAAGAAGAGAAAACCAGAGCCCAAAGUGAGGAAAUGGGUGAUCUGUCCUCACACAGUUGGUGGUUGAGCCGGGUCUCCCCACUGACUCAACUCUCAGGUCCUCAGGAGGUCCUCUGUCCUGUAUACCCCAAAUGACCACCUAAAUUCAGGCCUGAAGCAAUAAAAGUACCCUGCCUCCAGGUCUUAGCAGUAAUUCUCCCCACAUCAGAUGCCAAGUCGUUUUCUUCCCCUUAUACCAGGGAAGGUGUAAUUGGCAAAUGAGAAACGUGUAUUUAUACGUUUCCUAUUACAAACAUGGAUGGCUGAAGAUUUUUAAUUAGCAUCUCUCACCAGCAGUUUUGCAAAUGGCUCAGUAUCACUCCCUCUCAGCUCUUAGAUGUGUACCAAACUCAGCUCCUAUAAUUUCUUAAAAUUUGAGAUCUAGACAUCAAACAUAUAGGAGCUAUUUUAAGUAAUAAAAAAAUUCAAAGGUGA